CGUCAGCUCGUGUCGUGAGAUGUUCGGUUAAGUCCGGCAACGAGCGCAACCCACAUCUUCAGUUGCCAUCAGGUUAUGCUGGGCACUCUGGAGAAACUGCCCGUGAUAAGCGGGAGGAAGGUGUGGAUGACGUCAAGUCCUCAUGGCCCUUACGGGUUGGGCUACACACGUGCUACAAUGGUAGUGACAAUGGGUUAAUCCCAAAAAGCUAUCUCAGUUCGGAUUGGGGUCUGCAACUCGACCCCAUGAAGUCGGAAUCGCUAGUAAUCGCGUAACAGCAUGACGCGGUGAAUACGUUCCCGGGCCUUGUACACACCGCCCGUCACACCAUGG
rnacentral:rRNA from 1 species